UACGGAGGGAGCUAGCGUUGUUCGGAAUUACUGGGCGUAAAGAGCACGUAGGCGGCUUUGUAAGUUAGAGGGGAAAGCCCGGAGCUCAACUCCGGAAUUGCCUUUAAGACUGCAUCGCUUGAAUCCGGGAGAGGUGAGUGGAAUUCCGAGUGUAGAGGUGAAAUUCGUAGAUAUUCGGAAGAACACCAGUGGCGAAGGCGGCUCACUGGACCGGUAUUGACGCUGAGGUGCGAAAGCGUGGGGAGCAAACAGG
rnacentral:rRNA from 1 species